rnacentral:rRNA from 1 species
CCAGACUCCUACGGGAGGCAGCAGUGGGGAAUAUUGCACAAUGGGGGAAACCCUGAUGCAGCGACGCCGCGUGAGCGAUGAAGUAUUUCGGUAUGUAAAGCUCUAUCAGCAGGGAAGAAAUUGGACGGUACCUGACUAAGAAGCCCCGGCUAACUACGUGCCAGCAGCCGCGGUAAUACGUAGGGGGCAAGCGUUAUCCGGAUUCACUGGGUGUAAAGGGAGCGUAGACGGCCAUGCAAGCCUGGAGUGAAAGCCCGGGGCCCAACCCCGGGACUGCUCUGGGAACUGUGCGGCUGGAGUGCGGGAGGGGCAGGCGGAAUUCCUGGUGUAGCGGUGAAAUGCGUAGAUAUCAGGAGGAACACCGGCGGCGAAGGCGGCCUGCUGGACCGCGACUGACGUUGAGGCUCGAAAGCGUGGGGAGCAAACAGGAUUAGAUACCCUCGUAC